UAAAAUUUGGUCCAACAUAAUCUCCCUGCAAAAUGAAACAAAAUGUCGUUUUAAAAAAUAGGGGUCCAUGCACUCGUUUUCAAAUUAAAUCAGUUUGAAUGAUAAAAAAAAGUCGAAAAAUGCAUCUUUUCACGAUAUGUCAUAGUUUGACGUCGCGAAAAUAACAUUUUAUGUUAGCAACAUCAUUACCUCCCCUGUAACUGUAUCGUAUACCCUUAAUAGGAUUCAAGUUGUUUGCUCUUCUUUUUUUUCCUGGAACCAUGCACUUGUUCUUCUUUAUGUCACAAAUAACUGAGUAAUAACAUAGAAACCAAAAUCAAAUAAAUGUUAAUAAAAGUGCAUCCUUUGUAGUUUCAAGUUAUUGAUAUUUUUUAUCUGCCACUUGUCCUAGGCUUUUGUCUUGACUGCGCCAAAAG
rnacentral:lncRNA from 1 species